GAUGAACGCUGGCGGCGUGCUUAACACAUGCAAGUCGAACGGUGAACGAGGGAGCUUGCUCCCUCCGGAUCAGUGGCGAACGGGUGAGUAACACGUGAGCAAUCUGCCCCGGACUCUGGGAUAAGCGUUGGAAACGACGUCUAAUACCGGAUACGAGGCGUGGGGGCAUCCCCAACGCCUGGAAAGAACUUCGGUCCAGGAUGAGCUCGCGGCCUAUCAGCUAGUUGGUGAGGUAACGGCUCACCAAGGCGACGACGGGUAGCCGGCCUGAGAGGGUGACCGGCCAAACUGGGACUGAGACACGGCCCAGACUCCUACGGGAGGCAGCAGUGGGGAAUAUUGCACAAUGGGCGCAAGCCUGAUGCAGCAACGCCGCGUGAGGGACGACGGCCUUCGGGUUGUAAACCUCUUUUAGCAGGGAAGAAGCGAAAGUGACGGUACCUGCAGAAAAAGCACCGGCUAACUACGUGCCAGCCGCCGCGGUAACAC
rnacentral:rRNA from 1 species